UUUGGUUAAGUUAGAAAGGGCGCACGGUGGAUGCCUUGACACUAGGAGUCGAUGAAGGACGGGACUAACGCCGAUAUGCUUCGGGGAGCUGUAAGUAAGCUUUGAUCCGAAGAUUUCCGAAUGGGGAAACCCACCAUACGUAAUGGUAUGGUAUCCUUAUCUGAAUACAUAGGGUAAGGAAGACAGACCCAGGGAACUGAAACAUCUAAGUACCUGGAGGAAGAGAAAGCAAAUGCGAUUUCCUGAGUAGCGGCGAGCGAAACGGAACAUAGCCCAAACCAAGAGGCUUGCCUCUUGGGGUUGUAGGACAUUCUAUACGGAGUUACAAAGGAACGAGGUAGACGAAGCGACCUGGAAAGGUCCGUCGUAGAGGGUAACAACCCCGUAGUCGAAACUUCGUUCUCUCUUGAAUGUAUCCUGAGUACGGCGGAACACGUGAAAUUCCGUCGGAAUCUGGGAGGACCAUCUCCCAAGGCUAAAUACUCCUAGUGAUCGAUAGUGAACCAGUACCGUGAGGGAAAGGUGAAAAGCACCCCGGAAGGGGAGUGAAAGAGAUCCUGAAACCGUGUGCCUACAAAUAGUCAGAGCCCGUUAACGGGUGAUGGCGUGCCUUUUGUAGAAUGAACCGGCGAGUUACGAUCCCGUGCGAGGUUAAGCUGAAGAGGCGGAGCCGCAGCGAAAGCGAGUCUGAAUAGGGCGUUUAGUACGUGGUCGUAGACCCGAAACCAGGUGAUCUACCCAUGUCCAGGGUGAAGUUCAGGUAACACUGAAUGGAGGCCCGAACCCACGCACGUUGAAAAGUGCGGGGAUGAGGUGUGGGUAGCGGAGAAAUUCCAAUCGAACCUGGAGAUAGCUGGUUCUCCCCGAAAUAGCUUUAGGGCUAGCCUUAAGUGUAAGAGUCUUGGAGGUAGAGCACUGAUUGGACUAGGGGUCCUCAUCGGAUUACCGAAUUCAGUCAAACUCCGAAUGCCAAUGACUUAUCCUUAGGAGUCAGACUGCGAGUGAUAAGAUCCGUAGUCAAAGGGAAACAGCCCAGACCGCCAGCUAAGGUCCCAAAGUGUGUAUUAAGUGGAAAAGGAUGUGGAGUUGCUUAGACAACUAGGAUGUUGGCUUAGAAGCAGCCACCAUUUAAAGAGUGCGUAAUAGCUCACUAGUCGAGUGACUCUGCGCCGAAAAUGUACCGGGGCUAAAUACACCACCGAAGCUGCGGAUUGAUACCAAUGGUAUCAGUGGUAGGGGAGCGUUCUAAGGACAGUGAAGUCAGACCGGAAGGACUGGUGGAGUGCUUAGAAGUGAGAAUGCCGGUAUGAGUAGCGAAAGACGGGUGAGAAUCCCGUCCACCGAAUGCCUAAGGUUUCCUGAGGAAGGCUCGUCCGCUCAGGGUUAGUCAGGACCUAAGCCGAGGCCGACAGGCGUAGGCGAUGGACAACAGGUUGAUAUUCCUGUACCACCUCUUUAUCGUUUGAGCAAUGGAGGGACGCAGAAGGAUAGAAGAAGCGUGCGAUUGGUUGUGCACGUCCAAGCAGUUAGGCUGAUAAGUAGGCAAAUCCGCUUAUCGUAAAGGCUGAGCUGUGAUGGGGAAGCUCCUUAUGGAGCGAAGUCUUUGAUUCCCCGCGCCAAGAAAAGCUUCUAGCGAGAUAAAGGUGCCUGUACCGCAAACCGACACAGGUAGGCGAGGAGAGAAUCUAAGGUGUGCGAGAGAACUCUGGUUAAGGAACUCGGCAAAAUGACCCCGUAACUUCGGGAGAAGGGUGCUUUCUUAACGGAAAGCCGCAGUGAAUAGGCCCAAGCGACUGUUUAGCAAAAACACAGCUCUCUGCGAAGCCGUAAGGCGAAGUAUAGGGGGUGACACCUGCCCGGUGCUGGAAGGUUAAGGAGAGGGGUUAGCGUAAGCGAAGCUCUGAACUGAAGCCCCAGUAAACGGCGUAACUAUAACGGUCCUAAGGUAGCGAAAUUCCUUGUCGGGUAAGUUCCGACCCGCACGAAAGGUGUAACGAUUUGGGCACUGUCUCAACCAGAGACUCGGUGAAAUUAUAGUACCUGUGAAGAUGCAGGUUACCCGCGACAGGACGGAAAGACCCCGUGGAGCUUUACUGUAGCCUGAUAUUGAAUUUUGGUACAGUUUGUACAGGAUAGGCGGGAGCCAUUGAAACCGGAGCGCUAGCUUCGGUGGAGGCGCUGGUGGGAUACCGCCCUGACUGUAUUGAAAUUCUAACCUACGGGUCUUAUCGACCCGGGAGACAGUGUCAGGUGGGCAGUUUGACUGGGGCGGUCGCCUCCUAAAGUGUAACGGAGGCGCCCAAAGGUUCCCUCAGAAUGGUUGGAAAUCAUUCGUAGAGUGCAAAGGCAUAAGGGAGCUUGACUGCGAGACCUACAAGUCGAGCAGGGACGAAAGUCGGGCUUAGUGAUCCGGUGGUUCCGCAUGGAAGGGCCAUCGCUCAACGGAUAAAAGCUACCCCGGGGAUAACAGGCUUAUCUCCCCCAAGAGUCCACAUCGACGGGGAGGUUUGGCACCUCGAUGUCGGCUCAUCGCAUCCUGGGGCUGUAGUCGGUCCCAAGGGUUGGGCUGUUCGCCCAUUAAAGCGGUACGCGAGCUGGGUUCAGAACGUCGUGAGACAGUUCGGUCCCUAUCCGUCGUGGGCGUAGGAAAUUUGAGAGGAGCUGUCCUUAGUACGAGAGGACCGGGAUGGACGCACCGCUGGUGUACCAGUUGUUCUGCCAAGGGCAUAGCUGGGUAGCUAUGUGCGGAAGGGAUAAGUGCUGAAAGCAUCUAAGCAUGAAGCCCCCCUCAAGAUGAGAUUUCCCAUAGCGUAAGCUAGUAAGAUCCCUGAAAGAUGAUCAGGUUGAUAGGUUCGAGGUGGAAGCAUGGUGACAUGUGGAGCUGACGAAUACUAAUAGAUCGAGGACUUAACCAUAUAA
rnacentral:rRNA from 1 species